rnacentral:lncRNA from 1 species
ACCUUGAGAAUCAAUUGCUCGACCCCUUUUCUUCAUAUUUUUCUCUCUUGCUACUUGAGCAUCAUUAAGUCCUUUUUCUAUUAUUAAGCAUUUGUUGACAACUUCCUUAUAAGUGGGCAGCUCAAAUACAGUCACUAAUUGUUGGAUUCUAUCCCUUAAUCCAUUCUCAAAUUUUCUGGCUCGAACAUUUUCCUCAGCUAUCAAUGCAGGGGCAUAUCUCGACAAUUCUUCAAAUUUGGCUGCAUAUUGAGCAACUGUCAUGUGGCCUUGUACCAGUCGAUCGAACUCU